rnacentral:rRNA from 1 species
UUGGAGGGCAAGUCUGGUGCCAGCAGCCGCGGUAAUUCCAGCUCCAAUAGCGUAUAUUAAAGUUGUUGCAGUUAAAAAGCUCGUAGUUGAAUUUCGGGAUCAAUUUAUCGGUCGUGCCUCUGGUAUGCACUGGUAUUAUUGAUUUCUACCUUCUGACGAACCAUGAUGUCAUUAAUUUGGUGUCAUGGGGAAUCAGGACUGUUACUUUGAAAAAAUUAGAGUGUUUAAAGCAAGCACACGCUUGAAUACAUUAGCAUGGAAUAAUGAAAUAGGACGUUUGACCCUAUUUUGUUGGUUUCUAGGAUCGACGUAAUGAUUAAUAGGGAUAGUUGGGGGCAUUAGUAUUCAAUUGUCAGAGGUGAAAUUCUUGGAUUUAUUGAAGACUAACUACUGCGAAAGCAUUUGCCAAGGAUGUUUUCAUUAAUCAAGAACGAAAGUUAGGGGAUCGAAGACGAUCAGAUACCGUCGUAGUCUUAACCAUAAACUAUGCCGACUAGGGAUCGGAUGAUGUUAUUUUUAAUGACUCAUUCGGCGCCUUACGGGAAAC